GACGAACGCUGGCGGCGUGCCUAACACAUGCAAGUCGAGCGAUGAAAUUCCUUCGGGGAUGGAUUAGCGGCGGACGGGUGAGUAACACGUGGGUAACCUGCCUCAAAGUGGGGGAUAGCCUUCCGAAAGGAAGAUUAAUACCGCAUAAUAUUAGAUUUUCACAUGAAAAACUAAUUAAAGAAGCAAUUCGCUUUGAGAUGGACCCGCGGCGCAUUAGCUAGUUGGUGAUGUAAUAGCUCACCAAGGCGACGAUGCGUAGCCGACCUGAGAGGGUGAUCGGCCACAUUGGAACUGAGACACGGUCCAGACUCCUACGGGAGGCAGCAGUGGGGAAUAUUGCACAAUGGGGGAAACCCUGAUGCAGCAACGCCGCGUGAGUGAUGAAGGUCUUCGGAUUGUAAAGCUCUGUCUUUUGGGACGAUAAUGACGGUGCCAAAGGAGGAAGCCACGGCUAACUACGUGCCAGCCGCCGCCGUAAAAC
rnacentral:rRNA from 1 species